rnacentral:lncRNA from 1 species
CUCAUAACAAUUCACAGCCAUUUCUGACAUUCUCAAAAGCAAAUGGCAAGGAGUGGAAGAAGGCAGCCCCUCUGAAAGCUGGACCUCAAAAGUCCCCCCAUGUAACAAUUUGGGAGACUCAUUCUCCUGUUUCUUCCCCUCCAGACCAAACUCAAACCCAAAAGCUCUCACUUGAAGGCCAGCAUCUCCCCCAAAUGCUUUCUGUCCAACACUGUUUUGUUUUGUUUGUGAAUCUUAAAUUAUUAUUAUUUCUUCCUGUCGCUUAUACCCAAGGUGGAGCAGAGGAGAGGAGGGAAGAGGAGAGGGGGAAUCGCCUCUCCAAUCACUGAGUGGAGAAGCCGCAAGGGGAGAGGGGGAGGUCACAUUGUCCUCACUCUGUGGGGCUAGGCCCCUGGUCUCCCCAGCCCCAGGCUCCCCCAGCCCCUGAAAUGCUAAGAUGAGGCCCAGGGCAAUGGGACCUCCCCCAACCCCAAUAUAUUACAUCAUCACUUUUUAAAUAAAUACAGGGACAGGUCCUGCUACCCCCUCCCUGGGACGCCCACCCUCACUACUGAGGGCACCUGGGCAGCUGUGCAAAUGGGCAUGAGGGUGCAUGGGAGGAAGGGAGAGCACCGGGCUCCUUAGCCUGCCCCUGCUAAGGAGGGGGAGGGGCCGCCAGGCCAGGGAGGGGGAUGGUGCAAGGCACUAUUCCAGGAGUUGUUGAUUGGCUUAAAUACCUACCACCAAAUAAGCUGAAAAACGGUUGGCUAAGAAUAACUGAACAGGUGUGUCUACAGCGGGACUCCUAUGCCUUUAAUGUACAUCUCGAAUCUCCAAGAGGAGGACAGACCAUAAGGUGUUUGUAAGGCUUACUUGGCCACAGAUGUUUUUUUCCAUGGAGGAAUCAGUCUUUGGAAUGAUUUGGGAAGUGCAGUCUGGUCAUCCCUCCCAAACUCCUGGCACCUAAAACCACAAUGGGUUUUACAUGGAAAGCAAGAGUUCGAUUCCAUGUGUGUCAAUGUCAAUAGACCACCUGCCCCUGAACCACCAGAACCCAGGACGCUCUACGGUGACUGAUGGGCUUGGCCAGCACUCGUCCUCGUUUGUCUUACCCUUUGUAAUAGCCACCUGCCCUGAUGUGGGUCAACCCUGCCCCUGCCAGAGAUCAGGCACUCGCCAUAGCAGCUGGUUCACCAGCCUCUAGUUCUGUCUUUAUAGGCCAUUCAUCUCCCCCUUCUCCUCCUCCAUUUAUUCAUUCUAUUUACUCAGCAAAUAUUUAUUGAUUGCUUCCAGUAUGAUAGGCCCUAGGUGGAGCACCAAGUACACAAGAAAAGUAAGAAUUGGUACCUCUCGUCUAUAGACGUAAGGAAAUAAAUAAUUUCAAUGCUAUUGUCAUCAUCACUACUGCUAGCAGCAGCUUCUUUACCAUUAUUUAAAAGUAUGAAUUAAGUUCUGAUUACACAAGAGACACUUCAACGAGAGGCUGGGCCUGACCCUCGGGAGCCAGAAAUCUCAGGCAGACAUGCUAAUGCAGACACAUGUCUCGAAGUCAGUGAGUUGGCUCACAUCAAUCAGCGGUUAGAGGCAAGUGCAUUUAGGGAAGAAAGACAGGGGUCAGUAUCUAAUGGUGAAGAGAGCGGGGAAAGAGGUCACAAGCACAGCCCAACCAUCAUUCCUUUGCUCCACCUGACCCUGGAGGGGCUUCAAAACACAGGAGUUGUAAAAAGGAAGGGGUGCUGGCUGGAUGUGAUGACUUAUACAAAGUAUUUUAUGCAAAAAUGCCCCCUUUUUGUCUUAUAUUUCAAUAUUUACAAUAUUUCUUAAAACCAAGAGAAAGGCAGAGGUCGGUUGCCUCUGACCACAGCUUCCAAGCAGCCAUGCCCCUCAGCCGACACACAGAAGUUUCUGAGGUAUCCACACAUGGCCGGGUGGAAGGCACUCCUUUGGCGAAUAAGCUCUAAACGUCAGGAAAGCCUCUUGAGACCUAACUGGAACCUGUUCUUAACGCAGCUCCUACUGGAGGCUUACACUGGGUAGCCCACAGUGUGGACGGCCAUCGUGGCCAUGGGGUCAUGACUUCUGAGGGCUGAAUGAUGCCUCACUGGAGCAGUCUGUUCCAGCUGAUUCUAUUCUAAAGAUAUGAUAUGUUUCUUAUAUGGAAACAAGUAGCCCAGACCCCCAAUUUAUGUUGCCACCCAGGUCUUCCCUGAAACCCCACCCUCACCCCCAAAGCUGUGUCUUCAGCCAGUUAUCGCACUUCUAGCCUGAGUGGCCUCAGGAACACCUCACAUGACUCCUAAGGUUCUCGAAAGCUUUCUUCCUUCCAGGCAAAGGCCAGGCUCCAGCGGGCCCACAGUGAGAGGAGUCCCAGAAGCCCCAGCCUAUGGGCCUGACCAUGGACAGCUCUGGUUUGCACAAGCAUCACAACCCCAAAGUGGGUGGGAGCCCCUGCCUCAAGGGGGGACUGGUGCCCAAGGGGCUGCAGCUCACAAGAAGGGCCCAGCACAGUGCUGACUGUGCCUGCCCUCCAGACUCUUCUGAGACUGUGUUCCCUCAGGCUUCUCUAGGUAAUGAGCCACCUGUUGUGCUUCCACAGGACUCUCUAGCUGGCUGGGUGAUGCAUUCUUUGUACAUUUGUCAUUUUGUUCCUUCCCUACAUCUCCCCCCUUUUUCCUUGCUGCUCUGGGAUUUCCCCCCUCAACAAAGUGUUCCCACAUCAGCUUUUGCCUCAGGCUCUGUUUUCCAGGGAAGCCAGGCCAAAACCAGGGGUGAGGGUCAGACAAACCAAAAGUGCAAGGCUCUGGGCCCUUUCAUAGCUUCGAGCAGAACAGUCCUUCUUGCAUCUGUCCUGUGUGUUAGAAUCUCAUGUAAAAUUUCAUCUGAAUAAAGAACUCCACCACAAACAUAUUAAAAUAUGUUUACAGGGCCACCUGGGUGGCUCAACGGUUGAGCGCCUGCCUUGGGCACAGGACGUGAUCCUGGAUGGGAUCGAGUCCCACAUCGGGCUUCCUGCAUGGAGCCUGCUUCUCCCUCUGCCUGGGUCUGUGCCUCUCUCUCCCUCUCUCUCUC